rnacentral:rRNA from 1 species
AGAGUUUGAUCCUGGCUCAGGAUGAACGCUGGCGGCGUGCUUAACACAUGCAAGUCGAGCGGGAAUUAGUUAGGUGCUUGCACCUAACUAAUUUUAGCGGCUUUAGCGGCGGACGGGUGAGUAACGCGUGGGUAACCUGCCUUAUACAGGGGGAUAACAUAUUGAAAAGUAUGCUAAUACCGCAUAAGCGCACAGCAUCACAUGAUGCAGUGUGAAAAACUCCGGUGGUAUAAGAUGGACCCGCGUCUGAUUAGCUAGUAGGUGAGGUAAUGGCUCACCUAGGCGACGAUCAGUAGCCGACCUGAGAGGGUGAUCGGCCACAUUGGGACUGAGACACGGCCCAAACUCCUACGGGAGGCAGCAGUGGGGAAUAUUGCACAAUGGGGGAAACCCUGAUGCAGCGACGCCGCGUGAAGGAUGAAGGUUUUCGGAUCGUAAACUUCUAUCAGCAGGGACGAUAAAUGACGGUACCUUAGGAGGAAGCCCCGGCUAACUACGUGCCAGCAGCCGCGGUAAUACGUAGGGGGCAAGCGUUAUCCGGAAUUAUUGGGCGUAAAGAGUGCGUAGGUGGUUUUGUAAGCGCGAGGUGAAAGGCUAUGGCUCAACCAUAGUAAGCCUUGCGAACUGCAAGACUUGAGUGCAGGAGAGGAAAGUGGAAUUCCUAGUGUAGCGGUGAAAUGCGUAGAUAUUAGGAGGAACACCAGUGGCGAAGGCGACUUUCUGGACUGUAACUGACACUGAGGCACGAAAGCGUGGGGAGCAAACAGGAUUAGAUACCCUGGUAGUCCACGCCGUAAACGAUGAGUACUAGGUGUCGGGGGUAUCGACCCCCUCGGUGCCACAGCUAACGCAAUAAGCACUCCGCCUGGGGAGUACGGUCGCAAGACUGAAACUCAAAGGAAUUGACGGGGGCCCGCACAAGCGGUGGAGUAUGUGGUUUAAUUCGACGCAACGCGAAGAACCUUACCAAGGCUUGACAUCCUGUGACAGCUAUAGAAAUAUAGAGACUUCUUAGUUUACUAAGACACAGAGACAGGUGGUGCAUGGUUGUCGUCAGCUCGUGUCGUGAGAUGUUGGGUUAAGUCCCGCAACGAGCGCAACCCUUAUUGCCAGUUACCAGCGAGUAAUGUCGGGAACUCUAAUGAGACUGCCGGGGAUAACUCGGAGGAAGGUGGGGACGACGUCAAAUCAUCAUGCCCCUUAUGUCUUGGGCUACACACGUGCUACAAUGGCUGUAACAAAGGGAAGCGACAGCGUAAGCUGAAGCGGAUCUCAGAAAAGCAGUCCCAGUUCGGAUUGUGGGCUGCAACCCGCCCACAUGAAGUCGGAGUUGCUAGUAAUCGCGGAUCAGCAUGCCGCGGUGAAUACGUUCCCGGGCCUUGUACACACCGCCCGUCA